rnacentral:rRNA from 1 species
CCCAGACUCCUACGGGAGGCAGCAGUGGGGAAUAUUGCACAAUGGGGGAAACCCUGAUGCAGCGACGCCGCGUGAGUGAAGAAGUAUCUCGGUACGUAAAGCUCUAUCAGCAGGGAAGAAAAUGACGGUACCUGACUAAGAAGCCCCGGCUAACUACGUGCCAGCAGCCGCGGUAAUACGUAGGGGGCAAGCGUUAUCCGGAUUUACUGGGUGUAAAGGGAGCGUAGACGGCAGCACAAGUCUGGAGUGAAAUCCUGGGGCUUAACCCCGGAACUGCUUUGGAAACUGUGCGGCUGGAGUGCAGGAGGGGUAAGCGGAAUUCCUAGUGUAGCGGUGAAAUGCGUGGAUAUUAGGAGGAACACCGGUGGCGAAGGCGGCUUACUGGACUGUAACUGACGUUGAGGCUCGAAAGCGUGGGGAGCAAACAGGAUUAGAUACCCCCGUAUA